rnacentral:rRNA from 1 species
UGGGGAAUAUUGCACAAUGGGGGAAACCCUGAUGCAGCGACGCCGCGUGAACGAAGAAGGUAUUCGUAUCGUAAAGUUCUGUCCUAUGGGAAGAUAAUGACAGUACCAUAGAAGAAAGCUCCGGCUAAAUACGUGCCAGCAGCCGCGGUAAUACGUAUGGAGCGAGCGUUGUCCGGAAUUAUUGGGCGUAAAGGGUACGCAGGCGGUUUAAUAAGUCGAAUGUUAAAGAUCGGGGCUCAACCCCGUAAAGCAUUGGAAACUGAUAAACUUGAGUAGUGGAGAGGAAAGUGGAAUUCCUAGUGUAGUGGUGAAAUACGUAGAUAUUAGGAGGAAUACCAGUAGCGAAGGCGACUUUCUGGACACAAACUGACGCUGAGGUACGAAAGCGUGGGGAGCAACAGG